rnacentral:rRNA from 1 species
CGGAGCUCGCAAGGGUGACGACGUACCUUUUGUAUAAUGGGUCUGCGACUUAGUCUGACGAGCAAGCUUAAGGCGAUAGCUGUAGGCGUAGCGAAAGCGAGUCUGAACAGGGCGUUCAGUUCGUCGGAUUAGACCCGAAACCUGUCGAUCUUGCCAUGGUCAGGUUGAAAAUGGGGUAACACCCACUGGAGGACCGAACCGGUGUCUGUUGAAAAAGCCUCGGAUGAACUGUGGCAAGGGGUGAAAGGCCAAUCAAGGCAGGAAAUAGCUGGUUCUCCGCGAAAUCUAUUUAGGUAGAGCCUCGGAUGAAUACUCGAGGGGGUAGAGCACUACAUGGGCUAGGGGUCCCCACAGGAUUACCAAACCUAAGUAAACUCCGAAUACCUCGAAGUACUAUCCGGGAGACACACGGCGGGUGCUAAUGUCCGUCGUGAAGAGGGAAACAACCCUGAUCGCCGUCUAAGGUCCCUAAAUCACUGCUAAGUGUGAAAGUAUGUGGAAAUCCCAUAACAACCAGGAUGUUGGCUUAGAAGCAGCCAUCAUUUAAAGAAAGCGUAACAGCUCACUGGUCUAAACAAGGGUUUCUGCGCCGAAAAUGUAACGGGGCUAAAGCAGUGUACCGAAGUCGCGGGUGUGCAGCAAUGCACGCGGUAGCGGAGCGUUCCGUAAGCCUGUGAAGGGAGACCCGUGAGGGCUCCCGGAGGUAUCGGAAGUGCGAAUGCAGACAUGAGUAACGAAAGGGGUGUGAGAAACACCCCCUCCGGAAGUCCAAGGGUUCCUGCGUAAAGUUAAUCUGCGCAGGGUUAGCCGGCCCCUAAGGCGAGGGCGAAAGCCGUAGUCGAUGGGAACCACGUUAAUAUUCGUGGGCCAGUGGGUGAGUGACGGAUGCAGCAAGUUGUCUUUCCUUAUUGGAUUGGAGAGGCUGCGAAUGUGCCCCAGGAAAUAGCCCCCACGUAGACCGUACCCGAAACCGACACAGGUGGACUGGUAGAGAAUACCAAGGAGCUUGAGAGAAGUGUGCUGAAGGAGUCGGCAAAUUACCUGCGUAACUUCGGGAGAAGCAGGCUGCUAAUCUGGGCAACCAGGAUAGCAGGACACAAACUAGGGGGUGGCGACUGUUUACCUAAAACACAGGGCUAUGCUAAGUCCAACGACGACGUAUAUGGCCUGACGCCUGCCCGGUGCUGGAGGUUAAGAGGAGAGCUGCAAGGCUUGAAUCGAAGCCCCAGUAAACGGCGGCCGUAACAAUAACGGUCCUAAGGUAGCGAAAUUCCUUGUCGGGUAAGUUCCGACCUGCACGAAUGGCGUAACGACUUCCCCACUGUCUCCAGCACACACUCAGUGAAAUUGAAUUCCCCGUGAAGAUGCGGGGUUCCUGCGGUUAGACGGAAAGACCCCGUGCACCUUUACUGCAACUUUGCACUGCC